ACGGAAGGCAGCAGUGGGGGAUAUUGCACAAUGGGCGAAAGCCUGAUGCAGCGACGCCGCGUGAGGGAAGACGGUUUUCGGAUUGUAAACCUCUGUCUUCGGGGACGAAAAUGACGGUACCCGAGGAGGAAGCCACGGCUAACUACGUGCCAGCAGCCGCGGUAAUACGUAGGUGGCAAGCGUUGUCCGGAAUUACUGGGUGUAAAGGGAGGGUAGGCGGGAUUGCAAGUCCGUUGUUAAAUCUAUCGGCUCAACCGAUAGCUGCGGCGGAAACUGUAGUUCUUGGGUGAAGUAGAGGCAGGCGGAAUUCCUAGUGUAGCGGUGAAAUGCGUAGAUAUUGGGAGGAACACCAGUGGCGAAGGCGGCCUGCUGGGCUCUAACUGACGCUGAGGUUCGAAAGUGUGGGUAGCAAACAGGAUUAGAUACCCUGGUA
rnacentral:rRNA from 1 species